UACGUAGGGUGCGAGCGUUAAUCGGAAUUACUGGGCGUAAAGCGUGCGUAGACGGUUAUCUAAGUCGGGUGUGAAAUCCCCGGGCUCAACCUGGGAAUUGCAUUCGAGACUGAAUAGCUAGGGUUCGGAAGAGGGAAGCGGAAUUUCCGGUGUAGCGGUGAAAUGCGUAGAUAUCGGAAGGAACAUCAGUGGCGAAAGCGGCUUCCUGGUCCAGAACCGACGUUCAGGCACGAAAGCGUGGGGAGCAAACAGG
rnacentral:rRNA from 1 species